rnacentral:rRNA from 1 species
UACGGAGGGUGCAAGCGUUAUCCGGAUUCACUGGGUUUAAAGGGUGCGUAGGCGGGUUGGUAAGUCCGUGGUGAAAUCCCCAAGCUUAACUUGGGAACUGCCGUGGAUACUAUCAAUCUUGAAUAUCGUGGAGGUAAGCGGAAUAUGUCAUGUAGCGGUGAAAUGCUUAGAUAUGACAUAGAACACCAAUUGCGUAGGCAGCUUACUACACGAUCAUUGACGCUGAGGCACGAAAAGCGUGGGGGAGCAAACAGG